GACGAACGCUGGCGGCGUGCUUAACACAUGCAAGUCGAACGGAAAGGCCCUGCUUUUGUGGGGUGCUCGAGUGGCGAACGGGUGAGUAACACGUGAGUAACCUGCCCUUGACUUUGGGAUAACUUCAGGAAACUGGGGCUAAUACCGGAUAGGAGCUCCUGCUGCAUGGUGGGGGUUGGAAAGUUUCGGCGGUUGGGGAUGGACUCGCGGCUUAUCAGCUUGUUGGUGGGGUAGUGGCUUACCAAGGGUUUGACGGGUAGCCGGCCUGAGAGGGGGACCGGGCACAUUGGGACUGAGAUACGGCCCAGACGCCUACGGGAGGCAGCAGUGGGGAAUAUUGCACAAUGGGCGGAAGCCUGAUGCAGCAACGCCGCGUGCGGGAUGACGGCCUUCGGGUUGUAAACCGCUUUCGCCUGUGACGAAGCGGGAGUGACGGUAAUGGGUAAAGAAGCACCGGCUAACUACGUG
rnacentral:rRNA from 1 species